rnacentral:lncRNA from 1 species
CUAGAAACAGGAGUGGAACCUACCUCACCUGAAACAGAUGACUUCUUGGAGAAGAGGGAAUAUUUUAAAAAAUCAGGAUUCUGGAUGGUUUAGAGAAUCACCAGGAAGUCAGGAACAAAGAGUUCCUGGGCAGCUGGCACCACAGUGCAGAUCAUGACAUGGAACACAGAGGAAUGGCUGCUGCCAUCUUUGACCAUGGGAUGCCACAUCUCGAAACACCAACUCUGCUGGUCCCCAGAGCCCAGAUACAGCUACUUGUGCUUCUAUCACCGUGUCCCUGGAAACAGAUGUUGCUGCUAUUACUGGAACUGCCAUAAAAGAUUCUCUGCUGCCUGGCUUUUUUGCUCCCCAAUCUGAGCUUAUGAUAAAUGCCUCACUGUUGCUGCAAGGAGGGGGCCAAUACCCAGGACAACAGGACAGCCAAAAACAAACAAACAAACAAAUGAACAAACAGAAAAGUUCCAGACUCUGGUGAAACACAUGUUUCAGGCCCCUCAGCAAGAGUGGACAAGACAAACAUCUUUACAAGCCCCUCCCCAAAAGGUGCCUUGAGCUGUCCAGAAGAGACAAACCGAAGCCCUGCACUGGAAGGGAGGAAAAGAGAGAGGAACCCCUCCCCCCAGCAAGGAGCGGAGUUAGCUGAAAACUGCACCGAUCCCCUCUUGGGCUCUUCCUUGGCUGCUGCCCCUUCGGCGCAACUGCCCUUCCUCUUGGGCUUCGGCAGUGGGAAGAGAGCGAGCCGGGUGCUUUUGAGCUGCAGUGCGCGGAGAGGCUUCGCGAGGCUGGGCUCAGUAUUCGUUAAUGAUCAAACAAUUAUUUAUGUUGACAGCCCACAUCUCCCUUUCCGUAGUUUCCAUCUGAAGACUUAGCUCUACCCUUCUGGUGCAGAACAGGAAAGCCUAAUCUGUCUUCCCUGAGAUUCAAGAAAUUCAAGAGGCUGCUCCUCCUGGGGCCUCUGUCGGUAUCCUCCUUGUUGCUCCUAGUUAAACUCUUAUUCCUCAGGUAAGAUGGUGCUGAGUCUACUCACCAUCGGACUGUGGUGUCUAGUAUUGGACACCACAUCCCUGAUGUGCCCUGACACCUCAGUGCUCUCCCACAUAGAACCUAGUGGGCACUGUGUCCCCGCAUCUAUCUGAAGAACUGCUCAAGAGGCUUUGUGGGAGGUCUAGCUCCUCCUCACCCCCUCCAGGCUUGACAUGCCUCCACCCCCACCACCCCGUACCCUUCGCAGCAUACUUCCAGUCAGGCAGCAAUCAGCUUGCACCUGAGAGGGAUCAGCUGUGGUGACUGAGGCUGGCUUGCUCUUGCAGCCCCAGGAACACAGAGAUUCGUGCUGAAGAACCAAAUGGUUUCUACAGUACAAGCAGGCGCCAGGGACUCCGCAGGAGGCAUCACUGGCACCUUCUAAUUGAUGAGCAGUCCAGCUCUGAAGCUGUGGGCUCUAAAGCCAGAUACCUCCUCCAGGUGACUCUGAUCUUCCUCUCCCAGCUGAAUAGAGUGAACUUCAGCGUUUCUGGCCUCCAGUUCCUGAACUCUGCUUCUUCCAAGGCAGGUAAGGCAGUUUUGUUCCUCUGCUGGAAGAGUAAUUUCAGGCCUCCCUGUGCCACAUGCUGGUCCUUUUGCCUGGAAUGCUCUUCCUGUCUUCUCUGCUUUCUCCUUCAAGUUUUAGCUUAGGCAUCGCCUUCUCCGGGAAGCUCUUCCUGACCCCCAUUGCUACCCACAGUGAGUCACUUGCUCUCUGUUCCUCACUUCCACGAUGUUUCCUCCUGUCUCCAUCAUUCUACUCAUUAGCCCAGGUGGCAAUUAUUUGUUGUGGUGUUUGUUGUAGACAAAGACAGUCUUGUUUUUUUGGUUUUGGCAUUUUGCUACUAAAUGUGUUUUUGAUAAAUGAAUAAAUAUAAUAACACCACAAUAGCAGCUAAAAAUUAUUUAUUGACCAUUCACUAUGCAAAUGCACAUGCAUUUUCUUAAGUAUUCCAAUAACACAGUGCCAUGGUUAUUAUCUCAGUUUUACAGAUGUAGAAACAGGCUCACGUGAAUUAUGUAACUUGUUCAAGGCCAUAAUAGCAGUUUGUGGUGAGUCUGGGACUUAAACCUAGGUCUUUUAAAAAAAUUAUUAUUCCAAAGUCUUGUUUUAAACUUUGUAAUAUGAAUGUUUA